rnacentral:tRNA from 1 species
UGGAAAAUAUUUUAAUUUAAGAAUAUAUGACUGUUGAUCAUAAGGUUUAAUUUCCAG